rnacentral:tRNA from 1 species
GGCAGUGUGAUUUAGUGGUUAGAGCACUGGGUUGGGAUUCAGGAGACCUGCGUUCUAUUCCCAGCUCUGCUA